GGAUGUGAGACCUGGCUAUGACAUCUGUCACCCCAUUAAUUGCCAGGGUUGAUUCAGCUGAUCUGCUGGCUAGACGGUUGUCCCCUUCCUCCUUCACUGCUCCCAUGUGUGUCCCUCCCGAAGCUGUGCGCUUGGUCAAAGAAAAAAAACGACCUUCCCCAAUAGAGGUACACUGUUCUUCCGUCAAGGGUAUACAAGUAGCUGUGCUUCCCUGCUAGAACAAGUUCCCAAGGUCCAAAUAACUUUUAUGUGGGUUUUAUCUAUUAAUAUUUAAAAUAUCUUAAGUUAGACUAUCAAAUUAGUCAAGCU
rnacentral:snRNA from 1 species